GACGAACGCUGGCGGCGUGCUUAACACAUGCAAGUCGAACGGAAAGGCCCUGCUUUUGUGGGGUGCUCGAGUGGCGAACGGGUGAGUAACACGUGAGUAACCUGCCCUUUACUUUGGGAUAACUUCAGUAAACUUGGGCUAAUACCGGAUAGUAGCUCCUGCUGCAUGGUGGGGGUUGGAAAGUUUCGGCGGUUGGGGAUGGACUCGCGGCUUAUCAGCUUGUUGGUGGGGUAGUGGCUUACCAAGGCUUUGACGGGUAGCCGGCCUGAGAGGGUGACCGGCCAAAUUGGGACUGAGAUACGGCCCAGACUCCUACGGGAGGCAGCAGUGGGGAAUAUUGAACAAUGGGCGGAAGCCUGAUGCAGCAACGCCGCGUGCGGGAUGACGGACUUCGGGUUGUAAACCGCUUUCGCCUGUGACGAAGCGUGAGUGACGGUAAUGGGUAAAGAAGCACCGGCUAACUACGUG
rnacentral:rRNA from 1 species